UACGUAGGGGGCAAGCGUUGUCCGGAAUCAUUGGGCGUAAAGAGCGUGUAGGCGGCCCGGUAAGUCCGCCGUGAAAGUCCAGGGCUCAACCCUGGAAUGCCGGUGGAAACUGCCGGGCUGGAGUCCGGAAGAGGCGAGUGGAAUUCCUGGUGUAGCGGUGAAAUGCGCAGAUAUCAGGAGGAACACCAAUGGCGAAGGCAGCUCGCUGGGACGGUACUGACGCUGAGGCACGAAAGCGUGGGGAGCAAACAGG
rnacentral:rRNA from 1 species